CCCCAUCCAGAGCUGUGCACCACACACAAAUGCCACAUGUUGGACAUGAGAAAGUUCAUUCAUUGCUUUACCACAACUGCCACUUUUAAUUCCAAUAGAGGACCUGUAGCCAUGGCAAAGAUUUUAGCUGACACAAGGUCCAGUGUUUGUUGAAGAAGGAGAUGGUGGAUGCACAAAAUUGGAAGAUUUGAUGCUCAGGGUUGAGUGCGAUGGAAUCGUACAUCACAAGGGCCAUUUUUAUAUUUUUCUAGGCUUCUAACAAUGAAGAGGUCAGAGUUUGGGAUCUUAGCAAGCCUUUUCCAAAGAUGACUCUGGGUUCUGAAAGAAUAGCAAAUCUAAGAGUUUACCAACAUAAACAACCUAAUGGAAUUAGCGACCGGAGAUCUUUUGCAGGUUGAACUCAAAGCACUUUGAUGUUGGUUACAUACUCAGUGAUUCAAACAGCAUUGAUUCUAGCCAUAAAUGUGGAGAAAAAUGAGGUUAUCAUUUUCAAGUUUCACUUAGAUGAGAAGGAAUGGACUUGUGAAGAAAGUCUUUAAGGAUUACUCUCUUCUAUCUCUUAGGUGAUGAUCAUCUAAAGUCUCUUAAUCUUAAUAUAAGAUGCCUCUAAGCUAAGAGACCACUACAUCUAAUUCAAUGAUAAGUUCUAUAGCAUUUUCACUUAUCUCAAUCGCUCGAUGGCUCACAAUAUAGGAUUAUUCAAUUUGGAAGACAGAAGUCUCCAACCCAUUGUUUUGGACCAGCCAUGGAUGAAUUGGUCGCCACCAACUUGGUUUAGUCCUAGCUGGUCAAAGACAGAUAGCAAGACAUAUAUUCAAUUUUAGGAAUUGAAGUUCACUUUGACAUACAAUAAGAAAACGCUCCAUCAUUUACGACAUAUCAGACCUAUAUCAUUCUUCAUGUUUAUCAUUUUAAUUGGGGUUGAGAUCAAGUUCAAUAACAUGAAAGCUUGGCCUUUGUGAGCUGUAGAGCCAAAAGUUUCAUAAAGGGGAGGGCAUUUAGCAAUGCUGUCAUAUUUAUCAUGUUUUAAUUUAGUAAUAAUUUAAAAAAAGCAAUUUAGAAACCUGCAUAAGAUAAAGCAAAGUUGCUGAAUAUUGAAGACAAGAAAAAAUGGACAAAGAAAACAAAAAUAGGUAGCAAAGAUAUAUGGCAUGAAUCAUUAGAGGGUGAACAGAUCUCAGCACUGAUUUUGGCUAAAAUCAACCCAACUGUUCUCAUGAACAUGAUCUCAACACGAUUUUUUAACUUUUGCAGGAAAUUCUAAAUGUUUCAUUCUUGCCUUGCAUUUGAAGAAAAAAGGACAGCAAACUCAAUAAGUUAAACAGCAAUAUUAUAUAGUAGAUUUUUUUUUUGAUAAGAAAUGCAAUCUUUAGCCGAUAAAGUCUUGAAUUCCCAGCAAACUUUCAUCUUGAAUGAAAAGGUGAAUUUUACACUCUACUCUUCAAAUAAAAGGAGGUAAGGGGAGCGACAGGUAGUGGGGUGUUCAGGUGGAGAUAGAGGGGAGAGAGUGAUUUGAGGAGGUGGAGGGUUAGGCAGAGUGGUAGUGGUCAAUAGAUGGCCAUGUUGUGAGGAAACCGGUGAGUGGUGGUAGUCGGAUGACAACCAUUGGUUUUGGGAAGGAGGCUGGUUGGUGAAGGGCCACAGUGAUGGUGGUGGUCAAGCAACGGCCAUAGUGGGAAAUAGCGAAGGAAAGGUGAGGGGCCUAAUGGUGGCAGUGGUCGAGUGGCAGCAUAAUCAGAGAGAAAGAGACAAAUGUGGAUAGGUCAAUAGUAUUAGAGGUGGUUGAGCCAUGAACAUGGUAGAGGGAGGGAGGAGAGAGAGUGGUAAACAUACUUAGGAUGGAGGCAUAGAUGUGAAAACAUGAUGAUGUGGUAAUGCCCUAUGAGGAAAAGGUGAUCAAGAUUCGAGGCGGUUGAUACUAAAUAUUACAUAAUAGAGGAAUUCUUGAGGUCUACUGCUAACCUUGUGGGAUCAAGGCUUCCCACGGUUUUUUAACCCCAAGGUACGCAACCUGAAUGGUCAAUCAAUCCCUAGUGAGCUUUUGUCCCCAUGAUUCAAAAACUUUACCCUUCCCAAAUAUUUUAUCAUGUAAUCUUCAAAGCCAAUUUUCAAUAUUACUCGGACACUACGUUUCACAUUUUCUGCCAUGUCCCCACGACACAACACAACAUGUGACCAUAAGUGCCCCACUUCUCUGUCUCACUUAAGAAGGGGAGACGAGAGAGAGAGAUAAAACAAAAGAAAGUGCGAAUGGUUUGUAUCAUGGUUAGCCAUAUUGAACCAUGUCGCCCGAUAUUGGGCGUAAUGUAUCGUAUCGGUAGCAAAUUGAUACUCGAUACCGAGGACUAGCAAGUGUCGAUACCAUGAACCGACCUAUACAACAUUGUCUCGACAUGAUACCAAUAAAAGUACCAAAUUGGUACUGCAAACGAUGGUUUGCAUACCUUUAUAAGUGUUCCUUUUGAAUCUUUCCACCAUAAAAAUAACUUCUCUUCUACUCCCUCGUCUCACUUUAUUAUCCUUUUUCUUUUUUUUUUGGUUCAAUUUCCUACUCUCUUAGCUAAACUAGAGAAGGGCUAACAAUUGUUCCCUUCACAACUUAACCUUUCUCCCUGGCCCUUCUAAAAGGAUUUCUUUUUCAAACUUUUUAUAUUUCAAAUUUUACAUUAAGAUGCGACAACCCUGUUGUCUUGUCUUUGCUAACAUAGAACCCCAUCAUUUCCUUCUAAAUUCAUAAUUCUUAAUUCUUGCUGAGAUUGGAUAGCACACCUUACCCCUUCUAUCUCUUAAGACAGCUUCCUUGAGGCCUUGAAAGGUGGUAGAAAGAGUGUAUAUUAAAGGAAACACAACACCGCUAACAUACACUCUCCAUGCCACCCAUCAUUUGAUUUGAAUAUCAAUAGUUCAAGAGCAGGGAUACGAUAAUCUCACACAUAAAAGUUCACAACAAACAUGUUGCUUCUUCAUUGCUUCAUUUACAGUCGGUCAUAUUGCCAACCAAAAAUUCACAAAUUAAUUGUAUAACUUUUUUUAUCAGAUUUGCAUGCUACUUAAGAAUUUCUACUAUUCUAGAAUAGUAUAUAUGUUUAUGGUCGUCGUGUCCACGUACAUAUUUUUUUAUGAUUGUCAUGUUGGAUACCUCAAGAGACUUGGAUACUUGACACCCAUGUCCCAUGUCCAGGUGGCAUUGCCAAUUUCACCUAGGAAGACUAAUUAGAGAGAGGGCAAUCAUAAAGUAUUGCUGAUGCUUCAAAUCCUUUAUCAAAUGUCCUUAUGAAGUCUAAAAAACUAGCAAGUGCUCUAUAUCAACCCUCUCAAAACACAUACAAGUUAUCUGAACCUCUCUUCCUCUUCUAUCUAAGCGGUUCCAAGUCAAGAUCUCCACCCAAUAUGACAAGCUAGCUCAGCACUAAUCCUUCUGUGAAACUAAUCCUAUUAAACCAAUUAUUAGUAGUCUAAGAAAAAGAAAAGACUUAGAAACCUUCAUAUAAAAUCAGUUGCCCCUAGAGUACAGCUAAUAGAAGCCCUUUACGAGCUCCAGGAAGGAGGUUAAAUCCUUAAAAUUCCUCAUCUCUAACAUCUCUCCAUAAUAAAGGCAACAAGCCACUUUUAUUUAGUCUCUCAGAAAUCAUGUAUUAAAGCACUUCCACGAGGUUCACCCAAAAAAGCAGCUCCCUAAGCCAUGGGAAAGAACCAAGGAAAUGCGAUAGCUAAUGCUAGGAUCUUUGAGAAAUCAUUUACAUAAGCAUCCUGGAGCAAUAAGGCAGAGAGAAGGAAAUAACAUCUCCAAGACUUUAAGGCCAUACCUAUAGACCUAUUCCUAGACCAAAAGCACUGUAGGUUUCUAAGAUUCCCCUGUUCUCCAAGGGGCAUCAUAAUCUUUAUAGAUUAGACACUCCUACAAAACCUCCAAGGAAAUAUUCAAAAUCCUAGGACAGUAGCACUAUUUGCCUUAAACAACUAGAAUAAACAAACUACAAAGAUAGAUAACCCCACUUUCACUAUAAUAAUGAACUACAAAGAUAUGUUUCUACCCCUUUCACCUUAACUAUAACAUAAAUAAGACCUCACACAAUGCUUUGUCAUCCAUAUUACUUACAACUUCACCAAAAACAAAGACAAUUGGCACUCAUCUUCCUUGAGAUAUUUUAAUCACAUAAUAUAGUGACUUGCUAUACAAUUAGCAGAACAAGACAUAAAGAACCAUUUAGAUAUUUGAACCUCUAGAAGAAGCCCAAGUAGCUCUCUACUUGUGGUAUAAUUAGAAAAUAGGUGUCCAACCAAUCAUAAGCCUUGCUCAAAAAAUUAAAAAAAUUGAUAAACCUUUUAUUUCAACUCAUAUUAUCCACAUGCCUAUGACUAAUCACUACACAAUCUACUACCCAUUGUUCUUCCAUUAAAGUCAUUUGAAUGUUAUGAACACAAUUCAACAUUCUCUUUAUCAGCUUUUUUUAGUGCCUUUCUAGAGAACAAUAUGAACUCCAUCUACAAACUGACUAUACCUAAAAGUCUUUCAUUAUUGAACUACCUUGAAAAUCAAAGAAUAAAAGUGAUCCUCCCAUCUUGUGAUAAAACUAUAUAAAAAGGAUGAAAAAAUAGUCAAAAGAGCACAUUCUAACACACUUCCUACAUCUUGUGUUCAAUCUAUGUCUUCAUAUCCACUUAACUAUAAUGUAACUUUCAGGGUACCAUCUUUAUGUAAUAGCAUGCAAAAAUGAGAAGAAACAAAUAUGCCUCCAAAAUCCAUCGUUUACUUUGGACCUUGUGAAUCAACUUUCUUUCUUAUAAUUUUGCGGAGAUUUAACAAGAUCAUAUCUUAUUUCCUUUAUUACAAGGAGUAACAAUUUUCAGGUAAAGUCACGCAUAAUUGUAUAAGUUUGCCAAUUUACAUACAAAUUUCUUGUAGAUGGACUUCUCAAAAAUAAGCAAACUUUACUAUUCUUGCUUCAAACUAUCUCAUUGCCCUCCAUCAGCUUUCAUAAGCACGCCCAGUUUCUAAGCACUCAACAGCUUUGUCGCUCUACAACUACGCACUCAACAGUAUUUAAGAUAUAUUAUUACGCACAUUGACUGUUAUCAAACAGAUCCUUAUCGUGUUCCUUGAUAUUACCUUACAAAGUUCUGCCUUCCAUAGAAUCUUUAAGUAGCCUGUCCAUUCAAAUUAGAUGACCACCCACUAGCAUUGUUUGCCUUCAGCUCCCCAUGACGAAGCCACCAAUGUUCAAAUUAUAAAUCCUUUAAAACCCAUGGUUCCCCAAAACAUAUCCAUCAUAAUCACAACACAUGCAAUUUGGGAAUAAAUAUUUCAUCCAUGAUGAAGACUAGAUGUCUUUUGGAUGUUUGAUUUGGUAGAUUUUCUCCAUAUCAUUUAACACCUUACAUUUCUUCACUAGAUCUCUAAAUUGACUUGUUAACAUAUGAAAACGACCAAGCCCAACAACGGAUAAUCUCACAAUGCUAAAAGCCUAGUCACGCACUAAGAUCCACCUCAAUUUGUACAAGAUGAUUUGAGUUCCAAAUUACUUACUUUGAAGGAUAUUAAUUGGUCCCAUGGGCUGAACUAAUUUUGUAGAAGCUAGUACAAGCCAACAUGAUGACAUAUUAUUUCAGCCCGUAGGAAGAAUUACUUUUUGUGGAAGCUAGUACAGGCCAACAUGAUGACAUACUGCCAGAGGCACCAGGGACGUAUAGCAUCAGAAGUUACUCGAUGGUCUAGCCUUUACCAUGAAAUCUGAAUACCACAUAUCCUGUCUCAAGGACUAAAGCUCUACGCUCGUCAAAAUAAUAUAGUCCAGCACGAUGCCACUUAACAGAUGUUCUGUAAGAAAAAUCUAUUUGACACUUCCUGAUCCCAGGCCUUCCUCCUCCAUCUCCUAAACCUUAUGGUACAAACUGUUUUAUUCUGUAUCUGCUCAUCUUCAUGGAAUAAAAAUUUCAUGCAUCAAUAUUUCUAAAGAAUUUCCUGACCAACACUAAAUAAGAGAAUAAAUAUGCCUCCGAUUUGGCCCUAAACUUCCAUAAAGUGCUUUAGUGGAUGUAGUAUCUUAAUUGCUGUGAUCAAAUCGAGCAUUACUUUUUUUUCCCAGAAACAUAGCUGAAAAAACUACAGUGCUGAAAAAUUUUACCCAGAGUAUCAUUUCAUGAAAGCUUUACUUCUGUAUAAUCUUCCAUAUAUUAUGGUAAAUUUGUUAUUUUGAUUAAUAAUGUGAUAUAUUAAGUUCAAGAUUUAAUGAACAAAUGAAGCAUGCAAUCAAAGAUGCUAGGCAUGUAGUCAAAGGAGCUGAGCACAUGCAGAAAAUGAUUUGUAUGGAAUGGUGGAAAAACAAGUAGUUGGAUACAAAGAAAAAUUGGAGUUUAUAGCAUUAGAAUACAAACUAGCAAGUUCAAGUUAAGAUACAAUGGAGAAAAAAGGGUUCAGAUAAAAUGGAGGAAAUGACUCACCUUGGCUAGGGAACAGGAAAAAGACUCCAAUCGUCCAUCAGCACCACGAUAGAAAUGAAAGUAAGGAAGCACCCUAACAUUCAAUCUUUUGCACAUUGGCUUGUUUUCAUCAAAAUUUACUUUUAAGAAUACAAUGUCGGGGUUCUCUUGAGCUGUCUUACAAAGCUGAGAGAUCAUUCCAAGGAAAAGAGAGAAUAAAUGGCUAUACAACAUAUAACUACCAUCUCGAAUAUCGAAAGCAUUAGAUGUUUCAUCCUAAAAUAAUUAAAUGCUAUAAAAAAACCUAAUGUAUGUUUCCAAUAAAGAAAUCAUUAGGUAUUUCAUCAUAAAAUUAAGAUUAUACAGAAUAAAACCUCCAGCACAGAAUAUUUAGUAAACACCAGGAAAAAUGAGAACUCGAUGCGAAAUAUGAUGGAACUAAACAUGACUGACCAGGAGCUGCAUGCGGGAAAAUAAACGCAUAGUCCUCUUAUGGCAAAUUUUUAGCCAAACAUCGAAUGGGAGAAAGAUAACAUUUGUCUGAAAUUAAGAGAAUAAUUAAGCACGCAAGGAGACAGCUGGAGGGAUAGUACUAUGCUGGUAUUAAAUUAAGCCUAUGCCAUCAGUUCGUCAUCAAUGUUUUUGUAUGGACAACAAAGCACGCAAAACUAUUUAUAGAAACUAUCUUUAUUGUCAGAAGAAAAUAAAAGUUAACAAUACCCAUUCUCAUAAAAUUACAGAUAUCGAACAAGAAAAUCAUUACAUCAACAAAAUACAAUAAAAAAGUCAAAAAAAAGUCUUCUUUUGGCAAAGAUAAGCAUGAAUGAUGAUAUUUUGAGUCCAUGAUUAGAAUCGGAGAAUGGUCUAUAGAAGCAAUGAUCUUCUCUUUCUCUUAGUUGGUGUCACUUGCACCAUUGAUUAGCAAUUACUAUGGCAUUGACUUUGUGGAGUCUUCCGAGUCACUAAGUGAGACGAAGAUACCACCAAUUUGGACAAAAUACAGCUACAUGAAAAACCUUAAAACCCUAACUUGUUCAGGACCUGAAUAAAUACCAAUAAUGCUGAGCAGAUGGGAAUGCAAGAAAUCAAAAACUCAGAGCAUAAAACUUAAGUAAGGUCACCUUCGGGUAUAAGGCUCGGCAAGAACCACACCAAGUGCCGUAAAAUUCAACAAUAACAAGCCUAUCGCCAGCCUGGCUUAAUGCAUCCAGAAAAUCUCGCGUGGAAUGGAUAUCAAUCAUAUUUGGUCCUGCAUUCUUCUCCCACCACUUUGGUUCGUUGUUGUCAGCAGCAACUGCAUGCACCUGAAACAACAGAUCAAUUAAGAAGAAUAACGUCUCCAUGGGCAAACAAAUAAAGACAGGAAACUAUCAAGAACUACAGAACGAGGUCACCGAACUCUGCCAUAGAACCGCUUUAUUGUCCCCAAAUUAUCUAUUCUUACCGAUGUCUCUCAAGGACAUCAAAGGACACGUUGACUUCCUUCACGUGUCGACCCACAUCCUCUUUCUCGUCUCGCCAUGAACCCUAUCGCAAAACCUCUCCAUUACAAGACCACACUAAUCUGACCCAUGAACCACCACCGGGCUAACGAUGCCGUUCUUGAAAUUGUUACCUUUAAAUUGGUAAAAUUCGGCAAAAAGAUAACCAAAGAUCCCCUACUGUUCUGGUUAUUCCGGUGUAAAGAAAGGGUAAAGAAUAAGAUCAUACCUUGAGAUGAGAAAACCGCUUCGGCCGGUGGGCGAAAGCAGCAGCAACGGCAGAAUCCAAGCUAGUGUUCUGCGGAGGCCUUCUUCUUAAUCUCGAGGAGUUGGUGCAGCGGAGAGGGGAUAAGAGCGGGAGACGAGAAGGGAGGAGGAGAUAACAACGGAGGAAGAAAACAUCGGCCAUCGAUGUGGGCGACAGGCGUUGGGCAGAAAGGGGAGCAGUUCGGAGGAGGAGGAGGAGGAGGAGGACUGGAGGAGACCGCCUUCUCUUCUCGCCUCCUUCGUUCAAUUCGUCAUCCAAGAAACAACGGGAGAUCCGUUUUCCUCUUGUUUCUUUUUGGUUCUUGAUGAAGAUGGAUGGAAAUUAGGUCGAGGGGGAGUGGAGGGGCGAGGCCGACGCCCUCGCGGGUGUGGAUGAUUUUAUCUACGGACGGAGUAAACGAAACUUAUAAGGGCUCGCCGUCCCCACAAGUUCGCGCUUCGGCGUGACAGAUGAAAGAAAAGACCGCUCUGCGGUGUCGACUUAAUAAGCGGAUCGAGGGAGGCCACGAGAUGCAGCAUUAAGCAGGGCAGGUGGCGAUAGAUUGGGUCCGGAUCCGGAUCCGGGUCCAGCCUGAACCAACUCAGCUACCUAUAAUAUUUUGCGUUUUUUAGGGUCUACUAUUAUGAUGAUCCAUACGAACGUAUGUUUAAUCCCAUAUCAAUUAUUUACUGAGUAAAUUUUAGAUACUUAUACAGAAUAAAAAAAUCUAAAUAAUACUUUCUGACUAGAUAUUUUGGGUGAAGUCUUAGAUUGUUACAACUGGUAUCAGAGCGAACCUGACCCAUAAUCUAUGUGGAACAAGAAACACUCUAGGAAUCCAUUGGGACUGACUACGUGCCGAUCGUGGUGUUUGUAAUUAGAUUUGAAUGGAUUUAAAAAAAGAGGAGAGCAAUGUCUGCUAUCAGCAUUGGUACAGUCAAAAAUCCAGCUUUAGUCUGCAGUCCGCGCUACAUUGAUAGGCAUAGAGCGCCUGCUUGCUUAAUGCAGGCAACAAUGUCUUCUUUUACAUAAUCCUGCCAGGAAAAACAUGCUGUAAAUUUCUUGAGUAUUUGUUGUUUUUUUGGUAUUUCGGAUUUAUUAAACUAAUCUAGAAUAAAUAUGUUUGUGAGCAGCAGAAAAUAAAAUAUCUAAUAACUCAGAAAGGAGGAUAUCUACCAUAGUUGUCUACAAAAUGGAUCCCCUGUGAUUAGGAAUAUAAGAUGCUAUCCAAUCUAAUUUUAAGAGUAUAUUGUUGCAAAAGUUGAUAUGGAUGGAUAACCCAUUUCUUAAGAAAAAGUUUUGUCCCGUGAAUAUCUUUUUCAGCGUCUUUUGAAAAAAAAUACAAUAUGUAUGUCUUUUUGUAUCUUUCUCUUUUUCUUUUUUUUUGAAGAAAUAGGGAGGUAGAAUAUCUUCCAAAUUUUAUUCGAAGGAAAUGUAUCCUUCUCUUUUUUGUGAAUAUAAACAAGACAUUCAAACGAGUAGGGAUCUUUUAUGUCAAAAAAAAAAAAAGAACAAAAGAACAAAAAGGAAAUAAAAAAAUGCAUGAAAAAAUAACUGCUAGCAAUACCCAGAAGCACACCCUUUUAUUGCACACAGCUACUACGGUCCUUGCUUUACAAAAAGAGUUGGAUGCUUAACAACCACCGAGUCACCCUUUUCAAGUAUUAAAACUGAAAGAUUUCACAUCGGAUAGACUUGUUUUACAACAAGGCAGCUAUCUUUAAAUCCUGCCGUCGCAUUUUGGGUGGAAAACAAAACCAGGAAGGGGUCUGAGCAAUGCGUGUGCGGACCCUAAAACCGGACAAUAUCUGGCAGGGAAGCUUCAUGUUUUUCCCUUAUGUGGCCCUCAUGUGGGCAUUGGGUGCCUCACGCAGGAGCGUGACAUUUGAUAUCAGAGUCGAAGACGGCUCUAGUCUGAGGGUGAGUGAAUGAAAGAUUCCACAUUGGCUAGACUCGUUUCAGAGCCUAGGCAUAUAAGGCAUGUGUCUCCAAAUCCUGCAGACGCAUUUUGGAUGAAAAACAAAAUCGGAAAGGGAUCUGAGCAGUGCCUCACAUGCUCCACGCAGAUGGGGGCAUGACAAAAACCAUCGAUCCCAAUAUAUUGAACACUUGAUAUUUGAUUGAAUUUACAUAUUAGACACCUUUGUAGAGAGAGAGAGAGGCUAAAAUGUUUUCCCACUUUUUGAGAAAUAAAAAGAGAAGAGAUUCACCUACAUAAUAAGUAUCUAGAUCCCAAUAUUUAUAAUACACUAUCCCAGAAUUUCUAGUUGUUAGACAAAUGGAUAUAUUUACUAAGACAAACCACAAGGCACCCAAACAAGGGUAGAGGCUAUAUCUUUCGUGUGAAAGAAUGAUUUAUCUUCCUUCAUGCUGCUCAAACGCCGCUUUGAGAUCUAUGCAGGCUGAUCAAAAUGAGAGAGUUUGGGGUGCUUUGAGAACUGCAUGGGGUGUGAUCCAACAAAUAACAUCGCGAAAGAAGAUCAAUAAUUAUUUCACUUGAAAGAUUCAACCCAAACCCCGGAAACAAAUUAUAAUAGAAUAAUAAAAAAGAAAAAAAAAGAGAUUUGAUAAAUCUCAAUAAGUUGAAAUUAAAUGGAGCCAUCUUCAUGGUGAUAUUUGAUAUAUUCAUCUUAUAUAGAUAUACAAAGUUAGGAUCAACUUAGGGCGAUCACUAAUGCCCACAGGCUCAUAUCUAUCUAGAUUUGACCAGGACUUAGCCCGAAUCUAUGUCUGUGCUCAAGUUUGGGUCAAAAAAUAGAUCCAUAAAACCUUUUGUCUCCAAGUCUGGCUCUGGUAAAUUCUUACCCAACCUAAUUCUAUGUUCUUUGAGGUGAAAAAGCCUAGUCAUAGUUAAGUUAUAUGUUUGAUUUUUAUGAACCCAACUUAACCAAUCAGCCUAUCACAUCCAUAUCCAUCACCCAACAAAAAAGAAAAAAUAUAUAAAAUAACAAGCCAUCUCAUGGCACUGUGGAUCGAACUCGAAUAAAAUAUUUGGAAAAGAAUCGCGUUGAAACUUGCGUGUAUUAUAUUAGAUACUAAAUAAAAAAGGGACACAAAUAGAUGUAUUGCCUAUUGAGAAUUAAAAUAGAGAAAGGCAAAGAUAAUUUGAUGGAAUUAGAAAAAAUAAAAUAGAAAAGAAGGAGAGCAUGAAACUCUUGGGGCUUCCUAUCUUUUUAACCUUUGAUCCAUCUCCUUUCUUCUUGUUUCCUUGAAGUAACAGAAAUACAAGGACAUGCCAAAAUUUAUUAUUCUUCAGCUGCCGCUAGAGCACAUUUUUUGUUUUUUUUUAUUUAUUUUUUUUGGCUAAAAUGGGCAUUUCAUACAUCACAGGUACAAAUCCAUCCAAUAGAAUCGAAAAAUAAAAGGUUAUGAAGUGUUCCGGAUAUCUCACCCUUCUCAGUCCAUAGAGUGCCUCCUGAGUGGCUCGCUACAUAUGCUGCUACCUAGUCGGCAGCCCCGUUAGCUUCACGAUAUACAUGCAUAGCCUGAAAUAUAACGCCCUCUCUUACCAUCAUCCAAAUAUCAUAGAGCGUGGCUUUGACAACAUAACCAUGCUGCUUUCAUCCAUCACUACGCUCACGUUCCCAGAUCAAAGUAACUAUUUGUGAACGCACGUUUGUUGUAGCCUUGUAUUUCGCUCCAAGGUCUUGGCAUAGAAGGCUACCUCCCUUAUGGCCUCUCUAGCGCUCUUAAAUAACCAAGAAAGCCUACAAGUGCCCUGCAUAAACUCUACCUCGAUGCCUUACCUCAAAGGGCUCGUUUGGUUCGCGGAAAAAGGAGGAAAAGUGUGGUCAACAGAAAAGUAAUGAGAUGCCUCUUGUUUGGUUGGAGUUUUCGAAAGAGAGAGAUGAAAACGUUGUAUUCCCAUAGGAAUAUGAUUUCCACAUUUCAUGGAAAAGUCUUUUCCAUGAGAAACAUGGAAAAGUUACCUUCCCAUGAGAUAAAAAUCACUCUAUUUUUAUUUUUUUCAAAAAGGCCCUACAACAUUAAAGAGGCAUUAAAUAUCUAAUUUUUAUUAAGGGUAUAAUAAGAAUUAUACAUAGCUUUUCCAGGAAAGUGGAUGGUUAACCAAACAUAAGCACUCUGAAAAUCUGUUACUUUUCCAUGGUCAACCAAACAUGCCAAAAGUAUUUUCUCAGACAUCCUCUUUUUAGGAAUCUACUUUCCAGAAAUUAUAUUUCUAGGAAGAAAAAUAUUUUCCGCGAACCAAACGAGCCCAAAUUUAGAAAAGAUUUUAUACAUAGCUCUUCGUGACGCGACAUGUUUUCUAGAAUUUUGCUUUUUAGCACGUGUAUCUUAUCAAAGCUAAAUUUAUUGAGCUAGUACCCACCCAACCCCAUCUAAGAUGGAGUUUGGACUCCCAUGCGGGUCAAGCCACUGUAGACAGAAUUAACGAAAUUAAUUAAUUGAGGGUUGUAAGGAGAGGCUAGGUUCAUCAAAAUCAAAACUCCCAAACUUAGAGCUAAAAUUGGAUCGGAUAUUAAUAUAUAUCUAUAUCCAUAUUUAUUUUUAUUUGGUGAAUACAGAUACAGAUAUAAAUGUUAAUCGGAUAUAAAAAUUUAUAUCCAUAUUUAUUUUAAAGAGGUAUGGAUCCAAAUUGGAUACCAAAAGUAUGGAUAUAAAUACGGACAUAAGUCGAAUAAUUAAAUUUUAUGACCAUAAAAUUAAAAAUAUUACUAAGCAGGUGAUAAAUCAGGUUAAUAGCAUGUUAUGUAGUUAUUUAUUUUUCUUAAAAAGUUUAUGAGUUCUAUAUAAAAUUAAAUAGGAUCAAAAAUAAAAUUAGAUAUUCGGAUACUGAUUAGAUAGCUAUCAAUUAAUAUUUCUAUGUAUUUUUCUUCUAUAAAUAUAAAUACGGAUACGAAUAUCAAUCAAAUGCUCAAAAUUCUAUCUAUAUUCAGAUGGAUUCGAAUAUGAACAUGAAUCCACUUAUCCGACUUUUGCUUAGAGGAUAGGAGAUGGUAGUACGAUACAAACUAAGAACAGGUGGUACUAUUAUUUAGUCAACGUUUACCAUGUAUGAUAUAUAUAUAGACAUCUUGGAAAUUGUUAUUUAGCCAUCCCUAAGAGAGGGCAUUAGGGCAGCAGCUGUUAAUCCAAAAAAAUGAUGGUCACAAAAUUGUUUGUCGGUCAAAUGCUGUUUACUUUUGGAUUCUGAUGGCAUAUAUUGACCCCCUUUCAGGCCGCCUGCGGCUCCAUCAUUCGUACAGAAGUCUCAUAAAGGUCGCAUCCUCCCAUAGCAAAGGUUAUGAUCCAUGGCUAUCAUGGAUACCAAAUGCCAGGGUACAUCACAGCUUACCUUCGCGUACGAUGCGUUGGGGGGAAAACCAAGAGAGUCGAUACUUGGUUGCAGGGCGGUGUUGCCUUUCCCCAGGCGGAAGACCAUUCAGUUUGACUUGAUACAGCUUCGUUUUUAAUGUAAUCAUCAACAUUGUACAAUAUUAGGGAACGUGGAGCAAUGUAGUGCGUGGCCUUUUUUCUGCAGCAACCUACGUACCAGAACUCAAUUCAAACUCCAGUCAAAAAAGAUUGAACACCCAAGCCAGCAGGGAAUGAUUGUUUCCAAUCUCAACUAGGGCUCGCCAAUGUUAUUUAUUUGUGCUUUUAUUGAACUCAGUAAACACAGUGUGCAUUUUCCCUCAAAACUGUAUCUUUUGCUACUCAUUAUUAUGGAUUUUCUGGAUAUCAGAUAUUAAUCAAUUGUUAAUGUAAUCAAUCUCAUUUACAAUAUCGAUUGAUAAUUCUAGUAUCUUAAUUAUUAUGCAUCAAGAUAUCCCUGUAUUUUCUACAUUGUUCCUCAGCUGCGAUCAAUCACUCCGAGUUCAUCUUGGUGUCACCUUUUAAGAUAAUCCAGAAAAUGGCCUUGAAAACAUUAAACCUAAAAUCAUUCUCUGGAGUCUAAAGCAACCUCUUUUUGAUGGCUGUUUCAGCCAAAGCAAUCCUUCCCAUCCAAAGAUGUAAGAAAUAUCAAACAUGGUAGUGGAUUAUUAGUUUGCGAGCAAUAACCAAAUCCCCUAUCAGCAGCCCUAAACUCUCAAGUACAAAUGCAUAUUACUUUAAUAUGCCGCGUUAUCCUUACGCACCGAUGUCAGAAUCAUUAAACACCUCCUUAAAAUUUGAUCAAAAUCUCCCAUCUUCAUCCCAAGUUACCAGGUGACUCCCAAGUCUUGGAGUUCUUCGUUUCUCUCCUGAGAUUUCCACAAGCAAGAAGGCAGACAGUGUGCCCACCCACCAUGUGUUUGUUGCCCAUGCAAGCGACCUUUUUUUCUGAGGACACAAACAAGAAUACAUGGCCACCGGUCCCAGUCUCCAAUCCGAAAGAAAAAGUCCUACAAAUUUGGGUCGAUGACAAUCACCACCUUCCACAAGACCUAGGUGAGUGCGAUCUGGAACUUGCUACCGGACGCCCAAACGGGAUGUGGAGAAACAGUAAAAAAAGGAGCUUAUGGCCCGAUGAAUGCAGUUAGGCGAGGGGAUAGCUGUUCCCCAUUUUAAUUCUCUCGGCUCCAUCUGGAUGGACGCAUCCAGUCAUCGAGAGUUCUUCUUCCUCAGAGAGCUUCUGUACAACUUCACAGUCGUCAAAUGGACAAAAAUGCAAGCAGGAAUCAUCAUUCAUCCAUCUACCUUGUUCUUAGGCUUCCGUAGAAUUUUGUCGUCGGAAAAACUGUUUGUGUAUGGUGCGGUAUGAGAUCACGCACAUAUCCAGAGUAUUGUCCACAGUAUUUAAGUCGGAAAAUAACGAAGAUGAGACCCACGGAAAGGUACUCCCCACCAAAACCCAUGCCUUAAUAUAUUGACGGACAAAUUUACACAACGGAUAACUAAUUGCUAUUUUUGGAUCACCCGUCAAGGAAGAUGCACGACUGCGACAACACAGAGAAGCCUCUAGUUCUCUGCUAUCACUGAAAUACAGAGAAAGCCCAGCACUGCUGAUCCGUGAGAAUAAGAGGAAGAAAUAUGGGAGAAGGGGAAGGAUAUAAUGCAUGGUUGUAGAAAGAAUUUAAUGCGAUAAUGUCCGAUCCACCAAGCUAACGAAUUAUUAAAAAGAAGGGAAAAGAAGACGGAAGACUAAUUCAACCACGGAAAUAAAAGAACGAACACAUGAUGAGCACAAAUAAGCUGCGGUACUAAUCAAGAAUAGAAGAAGUAGCAGUCAUCGCAUAUGAAAACGCAUACAAGCCUGGUGCGUGGGCGAUGGCGGUUGUUGUUCUACUAGGAGGAAACGGAUGGGGACAGCUUGGCGGGCUCCCCGACGACGGUGUACCAUCGGCCUGGCCCCGCCGCCUCCUCCUCCUCCAUGAAGAGGUCAUCGGUCCGUCGCAGCGCCGCGUGGAGAACCACCACCAGCAGCCCCACCAGGAACGAGACCAGGAUGUUGAGCGUGGCGUUGGUAAGCAGCAGCACCCCCAGGGUCACGAGGGCGAGCACGAUCAGGACCGUGCGGUCGCCGAUCGUGCGGCCGAGGAUGACGAGGGGCUCGUCGCGCAGGAAGUAGAGGAAGAGCCAGAGAGCCAUCAUAACCAUGAAGACGAUGAGGGACACGGGAUGCCAGAGGAGGCUGAGGAAGACGAUAAGGAGGACGAUGAUGGCGUAGUUCAUGGCGAAGUAGCCCAGGUUGGUCCGGAUCCGGAGGUACGCCUCCCCGAGACUCGGCGGGAGGCUGAUGGCGUGGAUAUCGGCCACCUCCCGCCACGGGCGGCGCGUCGCCAGGGCCUCUCUUCCCCGCUCCUUGGCGCGGGAAAUGAAAUCCAGAGGUGUGGCGGCGCCGCCGGAAGAGGUCGGGAUCGUCCCAUAGGUAGUCAUCUCCGCGAUGAUCGACGGAAUGGAAUGGGGAAUGGGGAAUGGGGAAUUGGGGAAGGAAGAAACCAAGGAGGGGGUGGGGGUCCGAUAGAAGAAGGGGAACUUGACGGCGACGGGAAAGGGGGGAUGGGUUUCACAAUCCACCGUUGGUCAAUUACCGUGAUGGGGACGGAACCAUAAAAAGAAAAGAUAAGGCCGGCACGGGCUGGCAAAUGGGCACCUUUUACGCGGCAUUAUGAAGGCCAAAAUGGAUAUUAAUUAACACUUGUAAGUUUUUGUGAAGGAAAAUAAAAAGUCAUUUUUGUAAGGUAACUAGCCGGACCCACUGAUCGGUGUGUCCCGCCCGAACAUUCUUCCAACGAGGUGGAAACUCAGUGAGAGCUGCUAUACGAGGGUGGGCUUGUCCCUUCCUCCCCUUUUUUUUUGUAUUCCAAAAAAAAAAAGAAUAAUGAAAAGUUUUAGAAAUAACUUAGCCGAAGUAAAUGGUAUUUUCGUACAGGAGGUGUUUUUUUUUGGCUGUUGUUAUCUCAACAGCAUAGAGAAAACCGGAAGAUAUUUGUUUCAAUAUGGACUUCAUGAGUAAUAUUACUUUAUGACGCUAAUGAAUCCAUUUUGCCAGGUUCGAAUGAAUGAGACGGUUUAGAGCUUAAGUUUUUCUGCAUGGAUGAGACAAAGCUUACAGCUUAAGAAGUCCACUAUACAUCCCCAACAAAUUCUUCAGUGAACCUCUUGGCAUUUUAACAGCCACAUUCGUUGUACGUAUCCUACCUUUGUAAACACAAAUUGACAACAAAGGAGAACAGAAAUAUUAGCCAAAAGGUUUGUUUUAUUGUGUUAAAUUCAUAUUUUCUGAAUUUUGUAGGCCUGUAAAGAUACUUCUAUGAGAUUAAUUGCCAAAAGGUUAAGAGGUCACCAAAAAUGCUGGUCUCACAAGCAGGAACGUCCGAUGCAGUUGGCCAUCCAGCGGACAAUUUAUUGUGUUACUGCUUGAUGUUCAAAAGGUUAAGAUAUAAUGACGUGUGAAUUUGUUUGAAUCCAACAGGGCACACUAUGGGAUGUAAAGCUUCAUUGAGAUGAGCAAUGCUCAAAGAACGUAAAAAGAUAUAACUCGGAGUUUAUGUAAUCCAUGCAGGUAACAUCAACUUGGCGGAUAUAUUCGACAUGAGGAUAAAAUAGUGAGCUGGCAUCUAAAACUCACCAAGAAUCCAACAUAUGUACUCGAAAAUACCUCUUGCAGACAUCUUCCAUAGGCGUAAUCCAUUAGCCUUGCCUAUGGUUAAGCAUUUGAUGAUGUUGAGUAGCAACUAAAAGUAGUUGGCAUAAUUCCAAGAUUACUAGCAUCUACUUGGCCAUACUAAAACUAAAAUUCCAUGACACAGUAGAUUAGACCAAGAAUCACUGAAACUUUAAGCUACAAUGUAAGCAUAAAUGUCAUGCAAAUGCCAAGCAGCAGCUAUUCAUAAACAGGUAAACAAUAUUUUAAUAGCAUAGUGAUUCGGGUUUAUAAGGUACAUAUGACUUGGUUAAUUAAUCAAAGGAAUACAGAAAAUAAUUAACACCAAACAUAUAAAAUAAAAAUCAGAAACGGGGAUAAGAAAUAAGAGAAAAAACAUUUCCUACUUCUGUUCUUGCAACCGCUCCGCAGAUUUUCUGCUGUGUGAUGUCAAGCUUGGUGAACAUAAAUGUAGAUUCAAUAGAACAUAAUGCACAAGCAAAAAGUAUAUAAAUGUAGAUUGAAUUAGAUUGAAUAGAACAUAAAUGUAGAUUGAAUGAUGGAUCCUGGGACAGUAAUGAAUAGAACAUAAAUGCAGAAGCAAAAAGUAUAUAGAACGAAAACUUCUUCCGCUACAAAAAUACACUGUAUAAAAUGAGUAAGGGCGUAUUGUCAUGGUAUCAUUUGAUGAUAUCAUUAAGAGAAUAUGGUCCUCCAAUAGCCGCAUCUCCUUGAAAUUUUUGUACAAUAGCAGCAAAGAGUGUCCAUAAUUUACACGUGAACUAUGUAAACAUCUGGAUAUAUCUAUACAAAAAUGCGUUUUCACAUGUCAUUACUGUCGCAUUUGAUCAUCAUUCUUUUCUCAUAAUAUACAUUUUAGUGAAAAAAAACAUUUACCAUUAUUUUCUCCUAAGAGGGCUAUCCAAAUCUAUCAGUUUUUUUUCUGAAAGGUUGAUAAUUGAAUCUGCUAUAACUUGAGCACUCGACUUCAUAUAGCCACCUGAAACAACAUAGUAUUAAUAGGGAUAAAUGAUUUACUGUGGUCAAAACAGCCCAUAGGUACAAAAGCCUGCAUCUAAUCACCUGAUGUAAGCAUUAGAAGAGGUACGUUUCUUUCCCUGGCAAAUCUGAAUACCUUUUCAUCUCUGAUUGAAACUCCCUCAGGACUGACCUGCACAAUGAGAUACCAAUAAAGUAGUUAUGCACCAUAACAUGGAGGCUGGCUAACACCCACAGAUCACACAAGAAUUUAAACAAUAUGCGGACAGAAUUUCUUGACAUAUUAUUCCUCCCUACCAAGCUCCUGCCCCAGAUUCCCACCGCUCCAAUAUUCCUUUUAAUCCUUUCAAAAAAUUACAGCACAUAAAUGGUUUUAAAUAUCAAAUUUAGUGAAGAAAACACUCCUUAGAUCAUUCUUUCAAAUUGAUCAUCAUUCUGCAUCAGUAUAUACUAUAUAUUCUUGACCAGAUUGUAAGUUGAUCCAGCUGGGGAAAAGAAUCGUAUACCUUACUUUUCAAGGUAUUUUGUUCCUUCCAUUGAUGCGAUGAUUGUUACAGUGAUUGUACCAAAAAACUUAAUGAAUUCACUAUAUAAGCGAAAAAAAUCAAAAUAACAUUCAUGUUUUUCAUCACAUGGCAAUGCAGAACAUGACGUAUUUGAGUCUUUUUCAGAGUACGACCAAUUUAGAAGUUGGUCCAACGGAAGCAAUAUAGCCCUAUGUGUGCGCAUGUGAAUGUGUGUUUGUAGUGUAAAUCAAAUAAACAAAAUAAGUUUGAAGAUGCACAUGCUUUGACAAACAAAAUAUAAAUACAAACAGGAAUAUACCUUCAAUCUGCCCAAGGGAUCUCCAUCGAGAAUAUCAGUGCCAGCAUUGUACACAACCAACUCAGGAUUGAAGUUAUUUCCAGCAACCUGCAACCCAAAUUAAAAAUUCAUACUCUAAAUAGACAUAAUUUUUAAUUUAUAUGUAAUAAUGAAGCUUGCACAUAUAUUUUUCAAUCAAAGAGACAAAUGAAUGUAUUUUUCAUCAAAGACAGAGCAGUAGCAGAUAGACCACAAAUGAUGCACUUACAAUAGUCAAAACUUUUUGACCUAGAGCACAUUAUUUCAAAAUAUGUCUGAAAUUUAUUUAUCCAGAAUGCAAAAAACUCUGUAGCUUUCCCAUGGAAAAUGUUGCAUCAGUUAAUUCUUGGCAUAGAGACACAAUCACAAAAACACAGCCUUGCUCCAUUUAAAUGGAUCAUUCUUCAUGAAUGCAUCUGUCAUUGUUUCUAUCAAUGAUUAUAUCCCUAAUAAUGUAAGCCUUGUUGAACCAUAACAAGUUCCAAAAAUUUACGAUCCAGAAUUUCUCAGAUCUCCCAUCCUCAUGUAGGCUAAUGUCUUAGAUUUUCCACCUAAGAUAGUAAUUUACCAUACCAUUGCAUCAGAAUCAUUCCAUGAAAUAUCUUGCAUCCUUUAAGGUAGAUUCCCCAAUGCAAAUCCACUUCCUCCUCAUCGCAGGUCUAUUCCUUUAGGGACUGCAUCAUAUGCCAGUUCAGUUGUCUACCAAGGGAACUUAUACCAAAUAGGCAUAGGCCUUCGACUACAGAUGGUCUAAAAAUCUAAAUAUUGUCCGAUUGUUCUCAACCAUUUAAGCUCAUUAUUCACAUUAACUCCAGCCAAGAUAAGAUGCACCGUGGAAAGGCAAUGCUCUUGGUCAGAUGGCUUUAUUCACGAAGUACCACAUGAGACAACUUUAAAGCAGUAAAUAACCCAAGCACAGUACAAUUUGUGUUUCAAUUUGAAACACUAUACGCAAACAAGAGGGAAGGCCUUGGCGCAACAACAAACCUCAUCUCUAUCAAGUACCAUCUCUUUAGCCAGUAAGAUUCUGAUCACUGCAAACUUCGGAAAAUUUGCCUAGAAAUCAGAAAUAACUUCAAGCAUUCCUGGAGCAACUCCUAUUUGUUAGGCAUCAUGGUAACACCAGAGUAUCAUCCACAUAUAGCAGAUGACAUACUGAUAUUGAUUCUAACUACAUGAAAAGGUGAUGUAUUCCUCUGUCUUGAAUACCUAAAACUUCUGCAGCAGUUCACAAAACUUCCCACUUGUCAAAGCUAAAGAACCUUUUUGUUAUUAGGCAGUCACAAAUCCACCAACACCACAAGAGGGGGAAAUGACUUCCUCAAUGGUUCAAGAAUGGUAUCGCACAAUAUCUUAUCAUACAACCUUUAGAAGUUAUAUUUUGCAGAACACGAGCUUGUUCUUAGUAAAGAAACAAUAAACAGUUCUUUGGCUGGUAUAUGUAGGAUUCGUCAUAAAACCAAGCUUGUUCUGUAUUACCUGCAAUCCUGUAUAUUUUGUUGAAAGUUGUUCUACCAAAUUCUUUUCCAUGUUGACAACUAUGGCAACAAAUUUUUAACUCACAAAGACCAGAGCUUUAACAUGGCAACCCACAAGUUUCUCUGCAACGCAUCCAUUUGGAAAUUUUAAUUUAUCAGCAACAUGUCAUUGUAUUAAUUGACUAAAUAGAACAUUAGCAUGCUCUAGAUUAAUGACCAUUUAUAGCAAUAACCCUGAUUCCAUCGACAUCUACAACCAAUGCUUGUGAAUAACAUUGAUCAAAGUAGAGAAAGAUUAGCAUAACAGACAAAUUCAAAACACAAUGCGAUACAAAUGUACCUCAAGUGCUUUAUCCAAUUGCUCCAAAUACUCAUUUGUUUUAGUCCCACUCUAUCAACAUGCAGAUGUACAAGGGGAGAAGUUAAACAAAAACUGGGAUCAAAAUAAAACUUGAUACAUCACCACAACAAAAUAAGAUAGAAAAAAAAAACAACUUGCUACAUGACUAGCAAUAUAAAUUGGGGUUGGGGAGGGGGGGUGCAGGGACACAUUUAACUCACUAGUAAUUCAACUUUCUGGUCGAUGUACCUCCUAGCCUCAAGAUCCUGUAAAUGAAAUCAUAAAUCCUUAUAUAAAAAAAUGAACCAAUAAGAAAUAACUACAUUUUUUUGGGUGGGGGGCAGAGAGGGUAGAACAAAAGAAAACAGAAGCACAUUAAAGUGGGACGUACAAGCUUUAGAUGAGAAUAACAAAGACAAGGAUGUUGAAACAAGUUUGCAAGUUCACUUGAAGAAAACCUUUCCUUUGGGUUGAUCAGGCUGGGGCAGGGGUGUGGCAUGUGAGAAGAUUUAAGCAAUAGUAAGAAAUGAUAUAAAGAAAUGUCCCAUUUUAGCAAACUUAUCGUAACAACCAGAGAUUCUGGGUUCAAGUUUUGGUGGUGCAUCCCCAAGAAUUUAGAUCUAGAUAGUCAUUGUACAGGUUGGUCUCCCAUCUUUUCUCUCAUUGGGGAGGGGGAGAAAGACUUAUCCAAGUAUAUGCAUCAAUGGCAACAUGGUGUCCAAGAUCAAGUUGUUGGGAUCAAGCAAUGCCGUAUCAACCCAUACCGACCCAUAUUGUAGGCAUUGUACCAUAUCAAUAAGGUAUUGGUAUGGUACCCAGGUUCGAUUUAAUAUAUGAGCCGAACCAAGUGGAAUUGUCCUGUACCACCGGUUUUGAGUGGUACCAUGACUGAGAGUGAGAAAAAGUGUUGGAAGCUUAUCUCGGUACGGGGUGCAUACUAUACCAUACCACCACUGUACAGUACCAAACUGAUAACGUACCGGUAUGGUUCUCGGUACUGGUUUUGCAGACCUUGGUUGUGAUAAACCUUGUUUCUAUUUUUCAUAUGUAACUUAUGCAGCAAAGCAACUGAGUUUGGUAGACCCAAACACAAAUAAAGCCGGCAUGGAGUAGUGGAUCAAAUAUGACGCCACGUGUAGAUUGGUUAAGUUAGGAAACUAUAUACGUCUAAAAUCAGAUAGUUCUGCGUAGACCUCUAUCCAAAUUCCAACAAAAUAUAUCAGAUAAAUCAAACCCUUUCAGUAAAUGAGUCCAAUCUAAUUUAAUUAUUAAACAAAAACCAAUUCUUGGGUCUGAAUCAUGGAAGCCAUGGGCCUAUUUUAGUCCUUACACGGUGCCCUUAUUUGAUAAUUUAACAAAAGCAGUUCAGCUACUACAAAGAAGUGAUGGUCAAUGCUCAAAACUAGUUAAAAAAAUAUAUAUCUAAAGGAU
rnacentral:lncRNA from 1 species